rnacentral:rRNA from 1 species
GACGAACGCUGGCGGCGUGCUUAACACAUGCAAGUCGAACGCUGAAGCUCAGCUUUUGUUGGGUGGAUGAGUGGCGAACGGGUGAGUAACACGUGAGUAACCUGCCUCCUUCUUUGGGAUAACGCCCGGAAACGGGUGCUAAUACUGGAUAUUCACUGGUCUUCGCAUGGGGGUUGGUGGAAAGGGUUUUUCUGGUGGGGGAUGGGCUCGCGGCCUGUCAGCUUGUUGGAGGGGUGAUGGCCUACCAAGGCUUUGACGGGUAGCCGGCCUGAGAGGGUGACCGGUCACAUUGGGACUGAGAUACGGCCCAGACUCCUACGGGAGGCAGCAGUGGGGAAUAUUGCACAAUGGGCGCAAGCCUGAUGCAGCGACGCCGCGUGAGGGAUGGAGGCCUUCGGGUUGUGAACCUCUUUCGCUCAUGGUCAAGCCGCAACAAUGGUUGUGGUGAGGGUAGUGGGUAAAGAAGCGCCGGCUAACUACGUG